GUUGAUGAUAUUACAACAGCAAUAGUUCUUUGUCAAGGCUAGCAAAUGUGCCUUUGGGCAACAAGAGUUGGAGUACUUAGGGCACAUUAUCACCAGUCAAGGAGUAAAAGUAGACGAUAGCAAAAUUGCAGCUAUGGUGGCAUGGCCAUGACCUACUAACAUUUCUAAGCUACAUGGUUUUUUAGGGUUGAUAUGCUAUUACAGGAAAUUUGU